rnacentral:rRNA from 1 species
GAUGAACGCUGGCGGCGUGCCUAAUACAUGCAAGUCGAGCGAACAGACGAGGAGCUUGCUCCUCUGACGUUAGCGGCGGACGGGUGAGUAACACGUGGAUAACCUACCUAUAAGACUGGGAUAACUUCGGGAAACCGGAGCUAAUACCGGAUAAUAUAUUUAACCGCAUGGUUCAAUAGUGAAAGACGGUUUUGCUGUCACUUAUAGAUGGAUCCGCGCCGCAUUAGCUAGUUGGUAAGGUAACGGCUUACCAAGGCAACGAUGCGUAGCCGACCUGAGAGGGUGAUCGGCCACACUGGAACUGAGACACGGUCCAGGGUCCUACGGGAGGGAGCAGUAGGGAAUCUUCCGCAGUGGGCGAAAGCCUGACGGAGCAACGCCGCGUGAGUGAUGAAGGUCUUCGGAUCGUAAAACUCUGUUAUUAGGGAAGAACAAAUGUGUAAGUAAAUAUGCACGUCUUGACGGUACCUGAUCAGAAAGCCACGGCUAACUACGUG